rnacentral:lncRNA from 1 species
AAAACAGCACCCCGACUAUCUAAUCCAUUUCUCCCUCAACUUAUUGAAUAUAAACCAAAUCACAAAGUAAUAAAAUGAAUCAACAAAUAUAUAUAUAAACAAUAAAAAGAAAAAGAACCAAACACAUUAUAAUAACAUUAAAAUGCAACAAAUAACAUCUAAUUUAUAAUAAAUAAAAACACUCAUAAAUAGAGAUCACUACAAUAUAAGAAUAAUAUAAACGAACAUUAAAUUUAAC